rnacentral:rRNA from 1 species
GCCUUCAUGAAGCCGGAAUUGCUAGUAAUGGCAGGUCAGCAUACUGCCGUGAAUACGUUCCCGGGCCUUGUACACACCGCCCGUCACACCAUGAGAGUUGGGGAUACCCGAAGCCUGUGAGCUAACUUUUAGAGGCAGCAGUCGAAGGUAGAAUCAAUGAUUGGGGUGAAGUCGUAACAAGGUAAC